UUUCAACUUGGUUCACGCAUUGCAUUCUCCUUUCGCGUGUGGCUUCGUCUCACAGUGCUGAAUAAUAAUGGUGAUGGCUUCGUAGUUGUAAGUUGUGAUAAUAAUAACAGAAAACGAAACCCUCAAACGAAGGGAACAAUGCGAAUAUAAGUGAGAGAAGAAUAUAUCAAUAUCGUCUCCAAAUACGACGUCGUUCAGGCUGGAGUUUUAGCACCAGAUGUCUCUGAGAAUAAAAGCAGUAGUAGAUAAGUUUGUCCAAGAGUUGCAGGAAGCGUUAGAUGCUGAUAUUCAGGAUAGGAUCAUGAAGGACAGAGAGAUGCAAAGUUACAUUGGGGAGCGUGAACGAGAGGUUGCUGAGCGUGAAGCUGCUUGGAAGGCUGAUCUUUCUCGUCGUGAGGCAGAGAUUGCUCGUCAAGAAGCAAGGCUGAAAAUGGAGAGAGACAAUCUCGAGAAAGAGAAAAGUGUCUUAAUGGGAACUGCAUCAAAUCAAGAUAACCAAGAUGGAGCUCUUGAAAUUACAGUAAGUGGCGAAAAAUACCGUUGCCUCAGAUUUGCCAAGGCAAAAAAAUAAGGCUUGGCUGGGGUGACAAAAAGGAAAACCAUGCUUUCACUUUUCUCUCCCAGGGCUAGUGCUGUCGAGGAAUCACAUGAGAUGCCAAGCUCAGUUUAUGUACUUCAAGGAACAAGUAAGUGCAUGCACAACCAAGCACAGUCAAAGUUCUUCCCAACCAAAACUUGCAAAGGAAAUGGGGCUGUGAUGGGCAGCCAUCAACUAUGUUUUUACUUUUUACUUUGAGUAACCUUUGAAAUGGACUGCAGAUAUGGUAAGCCUGGUCAUGAGACAAGUUGUUUCCAUGGAAUAGUUAAUGAAUGUCAGUCUCAUGCACUUUGGACUC